CAAAAAUAUCAAAUGCCAUGUUGAUUUUGCACAGAAGGAAAGUUGGAAAGAGAGUGUCUAGAACAGGGGAAUCAUGAUUAGCUUGGGAUGGAAGAAGAUGAAGACAUUUUAAGACCCGUUGCUGCAUUGUGCCUGAGAUCCCCAAAGCGCUGGCGUUUGAUAACUUGGUGGACGUAGAUGCUUAGCCAAUCAGUCACUAGGCUUGUGAAUAUGGAAUCCGGAUGCUCACAAGGAGAAGAGCUGUAUGAAAAAAACCAAAAAGAAAUUGUGCAAGGAAAGUUUGAAGUGUCUGUGGGUAUUAUCAACAUCCAACUCUCUGAGCCUUCGUACUGAAAGUGAAUCCGUUCCUGACACCAGUUUUCUGUCAACCCUCUAACAUGACCAUUUACUAAUUUCAUAGGAUAUCAGUGAGGAAGUGAUUCUCUUGCAAACACGUCAGAAGUUUUGGAUCAUUAAUCGGGAUCUUUGGCACGUACAUUGGGGAAAAUAGCAUCUGUUGAUUUUAUGGGAUCUUUGUAUCAAUAUAUUUGUGUAGUACAUUGUCAUAUUUUUUGCAUUUAAUACAUGUGUUUGUCACUCUAGUCAUUAACUUUGUACCAGUACAUAAGCCACUGGCAGUUCAUUGUAAAUG